rnacentral:rRNA from 1 species
AGGGGGAUGCCCUGGUCUUCUAGGAAAGGGACGUACACCAAAACGAAAGGCAAAACUUUAGCACACCGCGACAAAGUUUUGAUUUCCCAAGAGCACAAGCUCAGACAGAACAAACACCGGGGGAAGUGAAACAUCUCAGUACCCCGAGGAAGACUGAUCAACCGAGACUCCGGCAGUAGAUGUGAUCGACCCCGGACCAAACCUCUCUUUUUUUGGUGAAAAACCCCAAAGAAGGUCGACCUUCUUCUUUUCUUGAACCGUGGUGGAAUCCCGGGCCAAAGAAGGUGAAAGCCCUGUACAGGAAAGACUGGGUCGACAGAGAAAAGAAUGAGUACAUCGGAUCACACCGAUGGAAGACAGGGGGACCACCCUCUGAAGGUUGGAUACCUAGAAGAACCGAUAGCGCAGGAUGUACCGUGAGGGAAGGGUGAAAAGAACCGAUCCGGAAGACUUCUUCCGAAGAAUGAGGACUUGAAAAGAACCUGAAUCCUGGUGCACAUCAAGCGGUCGGAGCC